rnacentral:lncRNA from 1 species
AAGGAACAAAGGGCUUGGAGGUGGUCCAUCCUUGGUCUCAAGUCUAGAUCAAGAGGUAUAAGAAUAAACCUUCACUUUGUUCUUCUCUAUAAAAUUGUUUUGAUGCAUUAUAUAUAAACCUAUGAACCUUGAAGGGGAUUUGCAUGACUAUAGCUUUGAUAAUUUGUUAUAAAUGCUUCCACUGUUUUCGUAUAUUAAAUUUUGAUUUGUAUAUGCAUGAUAGUCCUUUUGAAAUCCCAUUCUAGAAUCUCAUAAAUUUCCCUUCAAGUGGUAUCAGAGCCAAAGGUUUAUGUAUAAUGUGUCCUUUUGGAUUUUAUGCAUAUGGGUAUUAAUGUUAUGUAUGACAUAUUAUUGUUUCAUUCAAAGUAUGUUUAUCUUUUGUUUUUCAAUAGUUGAAAAAUGUUAGUCAAAAGUUGAGAAAGAUAUGUAUGCAAAAGUGUUUUGUAUGCAUGAAUGAAAAAUGAGUUUAGAACUAGUUUGACAUAUUAUUUCUUCAUUUAAAAGUAUGUUUGUCUUUUGUUUUUCAAUGGUUGAAAAAUAUAAAUCAAGAGUUGAAAAAGAUAUGCAUGUAAAAAGGUGUUUUAGAUGCAUGAAUGAAGAAUAAGUCAUGAACAAAAUUAAGGGUUUUGAACCAAAGGGAUGGCACGGUUUUGGGGGUGGUUUUGGGUUGUGUUUGUGUUUUAUUGUAAACCACUCUCACAUCCUUUUAAAGCUAGAAAGAAGAAACCUUGUCACUUUUGCUUUUGGGUUUGAAAAAUCACCAAGAAUACACAAAUCUUGAAAAAGUGUUCAUGGUUUUGUUCUUGGUGUUCAUAGUUUGGUUUUUGAUGAAAAUGGUUUUAAUGCAUUGUUUUGUGGUUUUGGGUGAUGAUCAUACCAUCCAUAACCAUAUCAUAUACUUAUAAAACCCUAGACUUGACUAGGAGAUUUCCAUCAAACCUUUUCACCUAAGUUUUAAAUGCCAAAACCAAGUGACAAGCAAAAUUUUGAUUUUUCUACUUUGCAUUGAAUUAAAGCAUGUGGAUGAGACUUCCCAUUCCCCCAUUAAGUGGCCGGCCACCCUAGUGGAUUUGUCCACUUGGGGGGGUCUUUUGUAAUCUUUGAAAAGUUGAUAUUUUAUACUUUUGAGUAUUUACGGUUUUACCCCUAACUUUUCAUAUUUACAUUUAGGCCCCUACUAACUAGAAAGUUAAAAUAUUUGAUUUUAAUUUUGUUAGUUGUUUAAACUCAUAAUUAUAUUAUGCCCAUAUGCACUAAAUCAAAAUGUUUAUGUUGCAUUCCAUUAUGAUUAUUUAAAUGUGUUUAAGUAGUUUUAAAAUGGGUGACUAUGGACUUAUGCCUUAAACGAUAAUUGAGCUAUGAGAUAAGGCGCUAAAAUCAAAUUGUUUGAACCUUGGGAAUGUGUUUUAAUUACUGUUUAAUUGGACCUUGUCACGUUUGACGUUAAUCUUUCUCUCCCCUUUUAGUAUAUGUAAUUUAUAGGAAUUUGUACAAAUCGGUUUGUAAUUCUUAUUACUUCUUAAUCUCUAUUCGUUAGUUGAUUCCCUCUAGUGCUAGACUAGAGUUUCUUUAACGAUUGGUAAGGAGACAUAACUGAAAGAGGGUUUUGACAUGAGAUUAAAGAUUAAAUGGGUCCAAUGCCCUAAUUAGCAAUGAAUGAUUGUCUUUCAUUUCUAAUGGCUCAAUGAAAAUGUUUUAAUUGGAUUGAUAAGCACGUAAUUAAAUUGACACAACCUCCCCGAGUUUAUAUUCAACAAUGAUGGCUCGUUGUUGCAAUAACCUUAUAGUCCAUGGUCAUCCAAGAGCCUAAGAUAACUAUAAAGUCCAAAUUCAAAGGAAUGCAAAAACCUUAGUAGUAGUAGUUACUUCCAAUAUUUGAAAAAUCCGUUUUUGAUAUUGAUUUGUUUUUCUCAAAACAAAUAGUGGGAGUAUCAUACGCUACUAAACUAUAAUGAAUACAAUUAGUAGUUAUAUAUAUCUCCAAUAUUUUGAAAAAUGUUUUGAUAUUGAUUUGUUUUAUGAAAACAAAUAGUGGGGAUAUCAUAUGCUACUAAUUUCAUUAACUUUGGACUAGUAGUUAUAAUAGGACAAUUUAUUUGAUUGUGAUUAAAUAAAUAAAAUGAUGAGACCUUAAAAUCCCUCAACCAAACAAUAUUAAGUUGUAAGCGUAAGAGUGCUUUGAACACUUUUUCGUGGCCUUCCACCGUGGUAGGCUCCAAGCGUUUAUGACUUGUACACCGCCUUCACCCUAUAAUGGGGAAGUGACAAAGUGCAUGCUUAUAUUCAGGAGGAGCUUAUUUAAAACAUUUGAUGAGGUUAAGGUAGGCAACGAGUGUGGCCAACAUCGUAUAAUCGUGAGGUCAUGCUUGAACCCCUAUCUAAACCGGCAUGGUGGGAAAGAACUUAACUAAGAGUAAUGGUGUAACAUCGUAUAAUCGUGAGGCAUUAUUCUCUAGAGGCCAAAAAGAUGGGUAAUCACAAGAGGUUGUUGUGAAUGGGUAAGCGUACCCUCUCAUUAUUAUUUUUGCUAGCCAACAUCGUAUAAUCGUGAGGUGGGCUUGGUAAUAGUGAGUCUCCCAUAACCCGCAAGGAGCUUUCUUGGAAAUCUCCCGGAUUCCAUUAUGGGGGAUAUGGAAUUUGCCAAAAAUGGUGGGUGGUGUCAUUCGGUUUAAAGACCCGAAUCGUUUGACUUAAUCAACAAUCAAUCUAAUUAUUUUAUUUGUUUAUGUAUAUAGAUAUGGUUGGAAGCACACUCGCGAAAAUACUCGACAAACAUUGCCUUGAGGGGCACAAUUUCCCAUUGUGGUAUCGUAAUGUCAAGAUUCUCCUAACAUUGGAGAAGAUUGUUUACGUACUAGACAAGGCUCCACCUCACAUACCUCUUAGCCCUGAGGCUACUGAGGAUGAACGUGCUAAGUAUGACAAGCACGUUGAGGAUGAUAUACAAGCCAAGUGCUAUUUGUUGGCUUCCAUGAAUGAGGAGCUACAGAGACAGCACGAGGGCAUGGACAGUGCAUUUUCCAUAAUACUCCAUCUUACGGAGUUAUAUGGCGAAGGGGCGCGCAACCGUCGCUUUAGCACUGUCUGUGAGCUUGUAAAGACCAAGAUGGUCAAGGGGGCUCCAGUACACCAACAUGUACUGAAGAUGAUAGGAUUCAUUGAACAAUUGGAGAACCUUGGUACUCCACUUGACGGGGAAUUGGCCCAGGACUUCGUAUUGGCUUCUCUUUCUGAUUCAUUUGCGCAGUUCGUAAUGAACUACAAUAUGAAUAAGAUGGAUAGUUCUCUCUCUGAGUUACUAAAUAUGUUAGUAACUACCGAGAAGACUAUGAAGAAAGAGAACGUUGUAGGGACUGCUGCAGUAGCCUACAAUAAGCCAUCCUCUUCCAAGGCCAAGCCGCAAGGCAAAGGCAAAGGGAAGGAGAAGAAGUCCCCCACUCCUAAGCCGAAAGGAGGAGUGAGGAAAAAGAAGGCAAAGGAGCCCAAAGGGACUUGCCACCACUGUGGAAAGGAGGGGCAUUGGAGGAGGAAUUGUAGGUUAUACCUUGCAAGUCUAAAUGACAAGCCACAAGGUAUGGUUUAUGUUCUUAUCUUCAAUUCUAAAUGUUAGAUCUUCUAAAUAUUUAUAUUUGAUAUAAAGAGCUAAUCACUUGUAUAAUUGUAUAUAGGUGGAGAAGCCAAGUAGAAGAUGAACAAGCAAGGAAAACAUGGUGAAGGGUUCGGCCACUAUAUUUUUGCUUACUACUUAGAAAGUUUGUUAGGCAUUAAAGAUUGUCUUUAAACUUUCUUAUUUUGUUAAGAACUUAUUAUAUGGCUUCAUAUGAUGGAAGACCACUAAUAGUGCCUAAAUGUAUAAAGGUAUUUAUAUUAGUCUCUAAAUGUAUAGAGCUAAUAUUUUUUUUUGUAUUAAACAUUAUGAAUGUUUGAAAUAUCAUAUUAAUGUAAUGUGAUGAAUGCCUUUUUAAAUAUACUAUUUCCUUAAAGUAGUGUUAUGAAUUAAAAAAUUGUCUUGUUGUAUCCUAGAUGAGAUACAAGAGUUAUAUCACUUAUUGUAAUGUGAUAAACCAAACUUUAGAUUUAUCAAUUAUGGAUAGAUCUCACAUGUAGGACAUAAAAGGAUACAAUGAAUCUUUAGAUUUGGUUCCAUUUGUCUACCUAUGAGUUCUAUAUGAAUUGACAAAACUCUAGAGAUUCCUUUCUUGAAGAAAAGGAAGAUCACAUUACAAUGAUAUAAGUAAUAAGAAAAACGUUUCUUAUAUGGUUGUCACUUGAAACACAAUGAUCAAGAUCACUCUUGAUUCAAUUAGUAGUUUUGAACAUCUAAUUGGGCAUUCUUUAAAAGUUUUAAAAUGUCAAUUGUGUUAGUGAUUAAACCAAGAAAGAAGUAUCUAAAUCUAUAAAAGGUUUAAAGACUUUAGCUACUUAAAUAAACAAGACAUUAAAACUUAGUGAAGAUUGAAACAAAUAAGCUUGAAAUGUUUUAAAGCUACUACACAAUGUCUUCUACCAAUAUAAUCCACUUUUAUACAUUUUGUAUGUAUGAAAUGAUUUCUCAUUAAAGUCAUGAGAAAUAGUGGGAGGUGUGAAAAUGGAUAUAAACUUUAAUAUGAUUGGUUUAUAGUUGUCUAAAGAAUAAUAGUACUUGACUAUUAUUAAGAGUUUGCAAUUUUAAUUGUUAAAAGACUCAAGCUCUUCAAACGUUAAAAUUCUAUGUUGUGUGACAUUCUAAAGAAUAGUCUUUGAAUGUUGGUUUCGUCAACCUAGCAUAAAAUGGUUAUAUGUUGGGAGUUGUCCAUUAUAUUCUUUUAUGAGAACAAACUAAUUACAAAGCAUAUGGACAAGUUGAUGAAACAAAAGGGGAUUAGUUUCAAAAUGAGUCACAACAUAUGGUUUAACAAAGAGACAAUCCAAAUUCAACAUCUCAUGUAACGAUGUUGCUCUAUGUAGUUUUGAUAAAGAAUUAUAUCAACCACCUAGAAGGAAUGGUUGAGUUUCUAUAACCUUAGUAGGAGCCAUGCUUCCACUAAGGAAUUGGAUAAUUCUUCUAUGACUACAUUAAAGGUCUUAGUAUGACUAAAACUUGUAGUAUGGUGUAUGACAUCGUAUAAUUAAAUGAAUGGACUUGAUAAAACAAGUCACAUAUUCAAAAGGAAUUACUUUAGAAGGAAUUCUUUUGUAUGUGAUUCGUUUAAAUAACUUGUGUUAGCUAGGGUUGUUAAUGGUCUCAAAAUUGUUGAGACAUCAUCAAUAAGCUAAUGGAUCUCAAUGAUUCUUAAUGGAUCCAAGACAAGUUAGUGGGAGCAAUAUGCAUUCAAAUUAAGAAAAAUGUAAGUGUUAAAUUUUUGAAUGAAUGCUAAGUUACGACAAGACCAUUGGGAGUGAUGUUAUAAUUUGAGCAACAUGAUGUGAAUAAAGUCUAUUUGAUAGACUUAAUAAAACAUAGAUGUUACUCGAGAAAUGACAAAACAUGACAUGGUCAAUUUUGAAGUAUAGACUUGAAAUUGGACUUAUUGAUAUAGCAAGGCUAUCUCAAUAAUGUUAUAUGGGAAUUAAAUCUCAAAUGUUGUAGAUUUAAGAAAGCAUUUUCCUAUGUGAUAGGAAAUCACUUUCAUAACCCUUAUAAUGAAUGUGUCAUAAAAUCACAAAAGGGACACAUGUAUUGACUUGUGAAGUAGAUAUCCAAAGGUGAAGAACCACAGGGGUUGUCACUUUAAGAUAUUACUAUAUCCCAGGAUCAGAACCAAAGCAACUGAUAGAGUAUUAUUGCCUUUAAGAAAGAAACAUCAGAGUGGGACUCUGGAAGCGUGCAUUCACUUAGGUUGUUAACCAAAGUGAAAAAUAAGCCAUUUUAACAAAUGGAACUUCAUAAUGGAUGAAGUACUAAUCAUAUGAAUGAAUUGUUAGUAUUGUACUACAAUGGUCUCAAGGUUGGAGCAAAGUUUGUAUAAAGUAUACAAACGAAAUAUAUGACGAUAAUAUAUAGUUUUAGAAACUGCUUCAAAAGGUGUUUUGAAUGGAAGGGGUUCUUUUUAGAACCAAUGAUUGAAUCCAAACCAUAAGGUCGUUAGUAGGGUACUACGACGUAAUGGGGCGAUAGCUCAAGCCAUGGAAUCAAGGUCUCAUCAAAGUAUUCGAACACAAUAAAAAGAGACAUCAUCAAAUGUUUUGGAAACAUUUGAUAAGUGAAAUCCCUUUUAAUAAAAAGGGAUUAAUACAUAACCAAGUUAACCUACGAGCAUAAGCUCUCUCAACAGCAUGAUGUAUAAGAUACACUAGUGAUUGACUUUAGUGCAAGUGGGAGAUUGUUGGAAAUAUGCCCUGAAAGUCAAUCUUUGGAAAGAAACCUUUCAGGACAAAUGAAUGGAUGUAUAGAUGAUUCUUAUACAUCAAAUGGCAAAGAUACUAAUUAGGACUAUCUCAAUAAACGAUAUAUGUCCUAAAUAGUGUAUCCAUGGACAAUGGAUCGAUUGAAGAAGUAAUCUAAUGAUGUUAGACUACAGAGACCUUCUUCACAUAACCAUUAUGUCCAAAAGGUUCCUAGGUCAUUGGAUUGUCGGAGGGAUACUGACAAUGCUUAGACCGGUACAUACUGUGUCUGCUUCAAAUGGAAGGAUGGAAAGUCUCAUCCCAUUCGUGUUGUGACACUAAGACAAGUAUGUAGGUGCUCAUUAAGGGAAUGAGUUCACUGAACACAAUCGAACGAGAGUACUUGCAUGGAGGUCUACUCACAUGUCAAGCAAGUAACUCUAAUGGUUGGAAUAAUGUAAGUAGUCCUUUGACCUGAGGCAUCGUCGUUGUCUUGUGGUUAAGUACUUAAUCUUUGAUUAUGUCAAAGUCACUCCCAUUCAGAGGUGUCCACGGCAUAGUUGGGGUUAAGCCACUUAGUCAUGAAGGCAAGUGUAUGCGCAACAAGGAAUCUCUAAUCCUCGAUAAAGAGAGGAAGAAUACUCUAAGAUAUGAUUCGGGAAUCUUCGGCCGAAGUAUCGAGCGUAUUAAAAGGAAAGCGUUCCUAUACGACUCAAAAGAAUCAUAUAAGAAGGAAUAAUCACAUUAGGGGUUUGACAUAAUAUAUCCAUACCCUAGUAAUGUGAUUGAGAGUAUUGUAUUUAGAGAAGGAUCGAAUUACAUUGUAAUUCCAACUGAAUAGGUUCUCCGAAUAAACUUCUACAUUAGCUUGGGUAGCUAUGACAUAUGGUUAGAUGUCACUCAUAGCUUGUGAGUUCUUCUAGAUGAUUAAAUGUAGUCAUCAAAGAAGAAGGUGAAUUGAAAAUGAAGUUUUCAAUUCACUAAGUGAUUGAAUUAAAUAUAAUCGAAUUGGAUUGGUGCCAAUCACCUCACUGCCUUGCUAAUUAGAACCUAAAAAGAUUGUUCACCAAUACACUAUUGUAGUGAGUAAUUAAUGGAUGAUGGAAACAAUUAAUUGGAUUAAUUAUGUGUUGUGAUUAAUUUAGAAAGUCUAAAGAAAUCAUAAAAAGCGAUAAAGAUCGUUUUGGGGGCUUAAAGAAACGUUCGGGUUUAAUUGGGCCCAUUGGGCCUAAACCCAUUGGGCUUUUAUUCAAGCAUUGGAUGACUUGAAAUAAAUGAAAAGCCCAAAGCCCAAACAACACAAAGAGGGCCGGCCACUUUAGGUAGGAAAAGGGGUGAGAUAUUUAGUCAAGUUGUUGGCUAGGUUUCUUUUGUCUAUAUAAGGAACUUUAUAGAGAUAAAGUUCAUUAGGGGUUUUUUUGAAGUGUUAAAACAACAAAGAGGCAAAAGAAAAAUAGCUCUCUAUACACUACAAAGUCCGGCCACCUUAAGGGUGUUUUUACUAACAUAUCUUACACCCUUUUGGUUAUUCCUUCAUCCUUCUCACUACACUAGUGGGUGAGGAUCUUUAGAGGUUUCCUACUUUGGAAACUUGAAGAGAACCUAGGAGCACUCAUUCUAACAAAGUGGAGGAGGCAAGGAGGGAAGCUAGGCUCAAGGAGUUCAAGGAACAAAGGGCUUGGAGGUGGUCCAUCCUUGGUCUCUCAAGUCUAGAUCAAGAGGUAUAAGACUACUAAACCUUCACUUUGUUCUUCUCUAUAAAAUUGUUUUGAUGCAUUAUAUAUAAACCUAUGAACCUUGAAGGGGAUUUGCAUGACUAUAGCUUUGAUAAUUUGUUAUAAAUGCUUCCGCUGUUUUCGUAUAUUAAAUUUUGAUUUGUAUAUGCAUGAUAGUCCUUUUGAAAUCCCAUUCUAGAAUCUCAUAAAUUUCCCUUCAGACGGGAGGUAUCGUCCGGCUGCAAGACGUUAAAGAAAGCGCUUCUUGGGAGGCAACCCAUGUAUUCAAAAAAAGGAAGAUCUAUGAAUCGCUCUACAAUCAGUUUUGCGUUUCUAAAAACCUUCACUUUUCUGCAUUUCUAUUUUGCCAUGAUUGUCAUUUUUUUAUUUUUGUUGUUUAUUUAAUUAUUUUUGGGUGUGGGUUUAUUUUUGAAACAUUGAUAAAUAUGCAAGAUAUUCUUACAUUCUUUUUCAUGAAAAAAAAAAAAGGGAACAUUAAGCAAGAAAUUACAAGAGGGAGCCUUCACAAAGGCUGCUUAGGAGAAGUCUCAGUAGUUGGCGGAGCCCCAGAAGGAGGAGGCAGCGGAGGUUGAUCAUUUGGAGCUUCAGUACGCGGUACAGCCCUAGAAGACGAAGGUAAAUGCUGUUGGAACAAGC